CCCAAGAGAUCGGGAUAACACCUGGAAACAGAUGCUAAUACCGGAUAACAACAGAUGAUGCCUAUCAACUGUUUAAAAGAUGGUUCUGCUAUCACUCUUGGAUGGACCUGCGGUGCAUUAGCUAGUUGGUAGGGUGACGGCCUACCAAGGCGAUGAUGCAUAGCCGAGUUGAGAGACUGAUCGGCCACAUUGGGACUGAGACACGGCCCAAACUCCUACGGGAGGCAGCAGAU
rnacentral:rRNA from 1 species